ensembl:lncRNA
UCUUACUGUUGUCACUCGCUUGAACAGGAGGAUGUCUCCUGUUGGUAGCCAGUCUAAUAGCUGAGACGUUGGAUGAUGCAGGUUGGCGUAGAGGGAUUAAAUGUAACUCAAAGUCUUGGAGUUGAUUCAUCAGUUCAUUUAUCCUUCGCCUUCACCUGCAGUCGCUGCUUUGGGUUAAGUGUUCAUAACCCACAGUGGCCAUUGGGUGCCAUUGGGAUCCAUUGGGUGCCAUUGGGAUCCAUUGGGUGCCAUUGGGAUCCAUUGGGUGCCAUUGGGUGCUGUUGGGAUCCAUUGGGUGCCAUUGUGUGCCUUUGGGUGCCAUUGGGUGCCAUUGAUGCCCCAUUGGGUGCCAUUCAUGACCCACAGUGGCCAUUGAGUGCCAUUGGGUGCUGUUGGGAUCCAUUGGGUGCCACUGGGUGCUGUUGGGAUCCAUUGGGUGCCAUUGAUGCCCCAUUGGGUGCCAUUCAUAACCCACAGUGGCCAUUGGGUGCCAUUGGGUGUCUUUGGGUGCCAUUGGGUGCCAUUGAUGACCCACAGAGGCCAUUGGAGGUCAUUGGGUGCCUAUGGGUGCCAUUGGGUGCCAUUGAUGCCCCAUUGGGUGCCAUUCAUAACCCACAGUGGUCAUUGGGUGCCAUUGGGAUCCAUUGAGUGCCAUUGGGUGCCACUGAUGACCCAUUGAGGCCCAUGGUGGCCUUUGGGUGCCAUUGGGUGCCGCUGGGUACCAUUGGGUGCCAUUGAUGCCCCAUUGGGUGCCAUUCAUGACCCACAUGGCCAUUGGGUGUCUUUGAGUGCCAUUGGGUGCUGUUGGGAUCCAUUGGGUGCCACUGGGUGCCAUUGGGUGCCACUGGGUGCUGUUGGGAUCCAUUGGGUGCCAUUGAUGCCCCAUUGGGUGCCAUUCAUAACCCACAGUGGUCAUUGGGUGCCAUUGGGAUCCAUUGAGUGCCAUUGGGUGCCACUGAUGACCCAUUGAGUGCCAUUGAGGCCCAUGGUGGCCUUUGGGUGCCAUUGGGUGCCGCUGGGUACCAUUGGGUGCCAUUGAUGCC